rnacentral:rRNA from 1 species
UCAGUAACGGCGAGUGAAGCGGGACGAGCCCAGCACCGAAUCCCCCGGCCGGACGGCCGGCGGGAACUGUGGUGUGCGGGACGCCACCAGUCGCGUCUGCCGGCGCCGAAGUCCUCCUGAUCGAGGCCUCUCCCACGGCGGGUGUAAGGCCUUUGCGGGCGACGGCGGGCGCGGCCGCGAGCGUCCCAGGAGUCGGGUUGUUUGGGAAUGCAGCCCUAAGCGGGUGGUAAACUCCAUCUAAGGCUAAAUACUGGCGCGAGUCCGAUAGCGGACAAGUACCGUGAGGGAAGGUUGAAAAGAACUUUGAAGAGAGAGUUCAAGAGUACGUGAAACUGCCCAGAGGCAAACGGGCGGACCCGCAAAGUCGACCGGCGGAAUUCAGCCCGGCCGGGGGGCGGGGGAUCCGGCGUGCGCGGAUCUAACGACCGCASCGUCGGCCCCGUCGCCUCCCGCCGGGUGCACUUUCCGCCGGYCGAGCGCCACGACCGGCUCCCGGCCGGCCAUGAGCCCGGCGGGGAAGGUGCGCGGGCGUUCUCCCCCCUCAAAACGGGGAGUCGUCCGCCGUUACAGCCUCGUCGGGAACGGGCCCGGCUUAGUUCAGGGGGCCGAGGAUGAAUCCGCGCCCUGCCACGGGCCGCCGGGCCGAGGGCGGGGGCUGCGACCGGCGGGGACUGGGCGACCGUGCCCGCCGACCGCCUCCGUUCGACGGAACGGCGAGCCUCGGGGCGCUUC